UCUUGGCUCCCCUGGUCUGGACUAGAGGUGCUUAGUACAGACCAGGCUUCGCUCACCUGGUCUGGACUAGAGGGGCUAGUCUUAGCUCACCUGGUCUGGACUAUAUGGGCUAGUCUUAGCUCACCUGGUCUGGACUAGAGGGGCUAGUCUUAGCUCACCUGGUCUGGACUAUAUGGGCUAGUCUUAGCUCACCUGGUCUGGACUAGAGGUGCUUAGUACAGACCAGGCUUCGCUCACCUGGUCUGGACUAGAGGGGCUAGUCUUAGCUCACCUGGUCUGGACUAUAUGGGCUAGUCUUGGCUCCCCUGGUCUGGACUAGAGGUGCUUAGUACAGACCAGGCUUCGCUCACCUGGUCUGGACUAGAGGGGCUAGUCUUGGCCCACCUGGUCUGGACUAGAGGGGCUAGUCUUAGCUCACCUGGUCUGGACUAUAUGGGCUAGUCUUAGC